UAUGUAAUACUGACAUAAAAAUAACACACAUAGGUGUCCGUUUAAUAAACUGAGAAGUUUUUUUUCUCAGUUCAGUUCUUGGCAGUUCUCAGAGGAAGAACAAAAGGUGGAGUUUUUCCUCUGAAAACGUCCGAGAUCUGUGUAAAAGUGGGUGGGCUGCCUGUAAUCUCGUGAUAUAUGGUGAGAUUACGGUGCAGCAGAGUUCAAAAAGUGAAAAAGAGACCAUUCCUACCGGAUUUCCGCACACCUCCACCUUUGGAAUUGCUUACCAUUUCUGGGUUACUCUGCGAGUAAUAUAGCAACUAUUUCUUCCAUAUAUUUUGGAGCAUAAUACCUAGUUAACCACUAAAAUCGUUUCACAUUUUAUUUCGAGUACAAUGCAUGCAUCACACUCCUGAUGAGUGGCGGAAGGCCAUGAAACAUGUAGUGUCUCCAUCUAGUGAUGCCCAGUCAUGUGUUUUCUAAUAUCUUGCUAAUCAUGUUCUUUGCUUGUACUAAUUUUAUGAAUUUGUAUAUAUUAUUUAUGUCUGAAUUGUAAUUAUUUGAUGUCAUGAAUUUUACUGCCUGCCGUUAAUUAUGCCCUAGUGAUUCACUUUCUAUUAUUAUUAAAUUUAUAUAAUUAUAUCAA